rnacentral:misc_RNA from 1 species
CUCACGCAGCCCGACUUGAACGGAGCUCUUUUUGCAGGAACGAAGUGCAAGCAAAAAAGCGGGAGUGGAAGGCGGUAAAGCUG